AGGAUGCCUGUAGAAUGGUGGUUGUUAACAGAAUCAUGAAACUGAGUCUGUGAUACAAUGUUUGCAGAAUGCUGAUUGUUCACCUUCUCAUGGAGCUGGCUUGAUGGUGGAAUGCUUGUAUAAUGCUGGUCAUUGACUUGAUCAUGGAAGCGUGAUGAAUAAUCAGAUUCUGGUCGAGGACUGGUAACUGAAGUUUCAGUAGGCCCAAGAUCAUAACCACCACCAGGUGCAAUGGAUGGAACUGACAAAUCUUCAUCACCAUCAAGAGGACCUGGAUUGGGCUUCCUUCCUUCU
rnacentral:misc_RNA from 1 species